UCGGUUCUUCGCCCUUGAUGGGCAAGAUAUUCCAAGCAAAAUAAGAUAUUUUAAUAGUAAUGAUCGACAAAGUUACAAUAUAGAAAUAAAUUUAAGAUACAUUAAAGACAGAAAGCCUCCGUUAUCAAUUACAGGUGCAUCUUUCAAGUGAUCAGCUCCGGUUUAGUUGUGUUAAAAAUUACAAAAAUAGAAUUUUUCUGUAAUUCGGAACAGAUGAAAUUCACCCUAUUCUGGAGUGGUUCCAUCGAUUAUAUAAAAGUUACUUCAGGGAAUUUGUAGGUACCAUUUCUUAAGUGUCCAUCCAAGUGAAUAUCGCAAGGUACAAGUCUCCAAAAGAUCACUCUUCGCACUACUCUUCAAACUUAAGUUAUGGAAAUUGUUUCCACAAUCUUGGAACGGGUUUAGUUAAACUCUGUACUGCUUUACCUGGCGAGUGUCCGAUCCAUAAAAACUGGGUUUGAUUAGCAAGAGGCUUACUUUGGAACAGAUAAUCACAACUCAACUGAAUAGUCACAAAAUAAUAGCAAUG